GAGGUAAUGGCUCACCAAGCCUACGAUCAGUAGCCGGGUUGAGAGACUGAACGGCCACAUUGGGACUGAGAUACGGCCCAGACUCCUACGGGAGGCAGCAGUGGGGAAUAUUGGGCAAUGGGCGAAAGCCUGACCCAGCAACGCCGCGUGAAGGAAGAAGGCUUUCGGGUUGUAAACUUCUUUUACCAGGGACGAAGGACGUGACGGUACCUGGAGAAAAAGCUCCGGCUAACUACGUGCCAGCAGCCGCGGUAAUACGUAGGGAGCAAGCGUUGUCCGGAUUUACUGGGUGUAAAGGGCGUGUAGGCGGAGACGCAAGUCAGGAGUGAAAUCCCCGGGCUCAACCCGGGAACUGCUUUUGAAACUGCGUCCCUUGAGUAUCGGAGAGGCAGGCGGAAUUCCUAGUGUAGCGGUGAAAUGCGUAGA
rnacentral:rRNA from 1 species